UUAAAGAAAAUAAUAUACAUAAAAACGCCAUCCCUUCUUCUUCAACACGCAGGCUCAGUGCCUUUAGUUUCUCUCUCUUCUUCGCAUAACGCAAGCGACAGACCCACACCACUAGCCGUAGUCGGCCACCGUCCGUGCAAGUCGCUCCGCCUCCGUCGCCGCCACAUAGGUCCGCCACCGAAUUCCUCGGCCACCGUUGUCUCCUCUGCCAUGAGUCGGUGCUCCGUCGAGUGCGUCGUUGCCGUCGUUGGACUUCCAUCGGCAUUUAUCCGCAUCAGGUGACAGUUUUUGUGAGUUUUCUAUGGAUUUUCUUAUUUAUUAUUGAAUACCCACGGAAUUUGGCAUGGAAUUAAUUCACCCAUGACAUUUGGAUUUUAGAUUUGGAGUUUGGAGGAUUUUUCAGAGGAGAAUAAAGGAUUAAUAGUUGGGUGAAUUUUUGGUAGGUUUUUGGAUUUUCAUGGAUGUUAUUGAAUGCUCAUUAAAUUUUGGCAUUAAAUUGAUGUUACCCACAAUGUUUGGAAUAUUAGCUUGAAGUUUUGGAAUGUUGUAAGCCACUUUGCAUCAGUUUUAAAGAUCGAUUUUGGCGACUUUCGAUAAGUGAUUAAGGUUUCUAAAUUUUUUUAGAUUGGUUGAUGUUGUUGUGAGUUGGGUUUACAACCUUUAAUUGUGAUUUAAAUAUAGAUUUGGAUUUUUGUGCAAAGUUGGAAAUUAAGCAAACUACGUAUUGGGGUUUGGUUCAAGUUUGCUCAAGCCAAUAGGAGGAUUUACUUGAAAUAUUACAUUCGGGCUUAAUCUCAAAAUAAGAUGUUGGUUUUGUUUGGGUUUUAUUUAGUGUUGAAAACCAAUUGACUUAUGGUUUGAUUUAUUGUUGUUUAUGGGCUUUCGGUGUUAUAUUCAAGUUUUGGAAGAGUUUCGAAAUUUACACCAAACUGUUUGGUGUUAUUAAGAGUUGAAUUUGGUGACUUUGGUAAGUUAUAAGGUUUCCACAACCCUUGGUUUGUUGAGUUUGAUUUGGGUAAAUUCUUCGAAACACUUUAGAUUUAAUUUACAACAUGGUUAACGGUUCUAAAUGUUGAAAUAAAAUUUGAUUAUGGUCUUGGGACAAGGACUUAAUCUAAAAUUCUACCCAAGUUAAGAGUAAGAUUAAAUUGCUUAUUAUUCGGAUGUAAUUGGGAUAAGUAUCUUGCUACUGGGUUGUCCACUAGCCAAUCGUCUUAACCAAGUUGUUGAGGUUAAGAUUGGGCAUAUACUGAGAAAGAAUACUAUUGUAUGUUAUGGAAUGAUUUACUAUGAUCGAACUGUGUGGGCGUUCUAGUAAUUAUGAGCUAUGUUGUUAUGAUCAUAACACGAGGUCUUAUGUUUGCAUUUUUGCAUAUUGGAUAAGAUACUAUUGAUAAUAUGAUUAUGAUUUAUGGAAUGAGGCCUAUUAGUCAUUUGAUGCAUGUUAGAUUAGAUGGCGACUGUUAUCUUUUCUAUUGGGUUGCGUACAUCUUAAGUUUGUAAACCUUCGAGUUCACAACUUUUGACUGAUUCGGUAUCCCUUUGGGAUCACCACCCAUGCUAUGAUUUGUGUUCCUUCGGGAUCACUAGAUUGCUAUGAUAUAUGUUCCUUCGGGAUCACUAGACUGAUAUGAUAUGUGUUCCUUUAGGAUCACUAGAUUGCUAUGAUAUGUGUUCCUUCGGAUCACUGGAUUGUCAUGAUAUGUGUUCCCUCAAGAUCACCAUGACUACCAUGACUUGUGGACCUUCGGGUUCACUACUUAUGUCUAUGCCUAUGCUUAUGUUUUUGCCUAUAACAUGUAUACCCGUGCCCGGAUGGGAAGGCUAACUAAUUCACCUAGUGGCCCCAGUAGUGGGUCACUUACUGAAUAUUCUUAUACUCUGCCAUUUCUUAUGAUAUGUUUUUCAGAUAAGGGCAAAGAUGGACCAAUGAAUGACAAGAAAAAUUCGUAAAUGUGGCAUUAAGACCAGACAGAAGCUUUCGCUCAUGAUUUUAUGUUUUCAUGUUCGAAAUGAGUCUUUGGUACUUGAAAUUCUAUAACUUUUUAUGUUAAACUUUCAAGUUCUUAAA